rnacentral:rRNA from 1 species
UACGUAGGGUGCGAGCGUUAAUCGGAAUUACUGGGCGUAAAGCGUGCGCAGGCGGUUGUGUAAGACAGGUGUGAAAUCCCCGGGCUUAACCUGGGAACCGCACCUGUGACUGCACAGCUGGAGUACGGCAGAGGGGGAUGGAAUUCCGCGUGUAGCAGUGAAAUGCGUAGAUAUGCGGAGGAACACCGAUGGCGAAGGCAGUCCCCUGGGCCUGUACUGACGCCCAUGCACGAAAGCGUGGGGAGCAAACAGG